rnacentral:lncRNA from 1 species
CUCGAUUAACCUCAAGAUUAGUGCUUGGGAAUUUUUUUAAACGGCACUGGUGGAGUUGUCGAUAUAAUUGAAAUUGUAUUCUAAUCAUUUCUUCUUUAUUCGACUACCAUUAAAAUUUUUCGGCACUUUGCCUAAUAGUUUGUUACCUCCCCAACCCGGCCUAGACAUUAUGGCCAGAUAGUGAAAGCUACAUUAGUCACCGCAAUGACUAAGUAACCCUACAGUCUGUAAAAACCCUAUUUCAACUCACUUUGGAAAAUUGUGGUUGCACUUGAGUUAGUUUGGAAAAUAUAAUUUUGUUAAGUCGUCUAAUCUUAAGUCUUAUUUUUUAUUGGUGAUGAUGACUUUUUUUCUUAAAAGAACUCGUUAUUUCUCGUUUUGUUUUGCAAAAUUUUAUUAUCUAGUAAUGCAGUGGGAUACUCUAUUUGUGACAGAUUUUAAUUAGGUCAAAUAACAUGUAUUUUCUAGUUAACUUAUAAAAUCAUUGUGUUGAGCAAUGCAUGCAUAAACCCAAAUCUAAAACCACAAACCACAACUCAGAACUAAACAUUAGAGUCCAAAAAUUGAAUAAAUACUUAUUAAAAAUUAUUAAUAGUAAAAUAGUCCGAAGUCUAUGCUACGUUCACAUGCCGAGUUCGAUCCUAGUCUCGAUCAUUACCUGAGAAGUUAAGACUAGGGGUGAGCUUAAAAUAGCUCACUAUAAGUCAAUAACAGUAUAAUCAUACAAUCAUUCACACGGGCAAAAAUCAUCAUUUUCAUUACAGUACGAUACGUGACAUAUUUCAAUAAUCCUAAGAACAUGUCAUUAGCAUGAUGCAAUAAAAAAUGAUUCUUACCCAUCCAUCCGCUACACACCAUGAGUUUCCCAGAACUUGUUUGCCAAUCACCAAUACAAUAGUGCAAAUAUACUACCAAUAAAUAUGCAAACAAGUUACCAAUAAAGGUAAAUACAAUUAAACUGCCAAUAAUGCGAUAAAUUUGCCAAUCUCCUCGGUACUCGAUGUAGUGCACUAAAAACAAUAAUACAAACUUUAACUAUAGUCGGUACUCCACGGAUCUCCUCCAUCAACCACAAUAACUCAUCCCAUGCACAUGUGAUAUAACAUGCAAUCAUUAAGCAAAAUCAUGCUUUCAAUUUGGUUUCAGUACAAUGCCAUGUCUUACAUGCUUACGGUACCAUAAUCAAUUCAAUGGCAUGGUUAACAUGCUUACGGUAACAUAAUCAAUUCAAUGGCAUGCUUAACAUGCUUAAGGUAACAUAAUCAAUUCAAUUGAAAGCUUAUCAUACUUAUGGUAACAUAUUUAGUAUAUGGAUUGCAAGCAUUUAGUCAGUCGAUACAAUGGGAUCACAACCAGACAUAGUUAUUAUGCAAUCAAACAAUAACUCAAUGAGUCGCAUGCUAUACAGGUCCUCAAUCAAACAAAGUUAAAACCCACACAUUAAAAUAGCAAGUCCGCAAUACUAAUCCAUAAAGCUUUUGCUUCCACCCUUAAACCUUAAACGUGACUAAAAAAAUUACAAUAUUUAACAUAUUAAAAUAAUGUUAAAAAAACUUUAAACACCUUCCAAAUGGUUCGACCAAAUCAAUGUUACACCCACCAAUUUCUAGAGAAAUUCGGCAAGGAAAAUUACACUGAUUUAAUGCAAAAUGAGGGCACGAAUGGAAUCCGACUUCAUUGUUGAUCCGGGAUGUUCAAAUUAGUUUCUACAACCAAAAUAUUAUUGAAAAUAAGUAAUUUAAAACCAAUUACGAGCCCUAAAAAAUCAGCCAUAGCAUCCUCUAUUAACGAAAACAAUACUAUGUAGUUAUUCGCACCAAUCGCACUUACGCUUUCCGUUUUACUAAAUCCGAGUUGCCAAACGAAUGGGAUCAGAAACACUUAUAAAGGACAAGACCGAAGGCUGAUUAGAAUACAGGAACAACGAAUUAAACUUGCUGAAGAGUGGCAGAAAAGAGAAGAAAAAUGGCAGCCCCAUAAUAAUGAUUCAAGGGACGGCAUACCACCACAAUUGGCACAAUAAGGGGCUAUUUUUGUUCAGCACCAAAAAGGGAAUUUAAGGGCUGGUUAGGGAUUGUUUUUAGACUUGAAAAAAAAGGAAAAAAGGCUGGAAAUGGAGCAUAAAACAUCAAUUAAUGGCUCGAUAUGACAACCAACAAAGGGGAUCUAAGGGCAACAGAUACCACCAACGGCGGUAGCUCUAAGGCUAGUUUGGGGUAGUUUAAAAGGGGUGUUUAAGGGUUGAUUUGAACAACAACAAAAAAACAUGAGAUCUCAACAAAACAAUAGCUUAAAAUCCACAACAAAGGAAAUAAGACGAAGGAGAGAAAGAAUGGCACUUACACUGAGAAGAGAAUGAGCAGCACAAUAGAGUUUUUUGGGGGUAGCACAGUGAAGGAGAAAUGAAGCAAAAACGAGAGAAUUUGAGAGAAGGAAAAGGAUUGGAUGGAUACAGCAAAAGAAAAGAUGAAAAAAAGGCUAAAAAAUGGUUGAAAAUGUUACAUUUAUACUUACAUUAACUAGGCUGGGUGGCACAAAAAUAGGAGAGGAAAAUAGAAAAAAUUUAGUCAUUUUGUAAGGGAAAGGAAACAAACUCGGGUAUCUAAUCCAACUACACUCGGUCCUUAUUUUCUCUUCACCUUU